UAAUUCUGGAUACAGUCGGAGAGAGCGCAGGUCUCUGGACUUCCAUGACAGUGCUUCCAUAUCCAUGGGUCCUCUGAUGUUGUCUGAAGGGAACACAGAUAAGUGGCUCCCAUAUCAAGUGAAGGUAUCCAAGGCUUCUUGUCUGUGUGCUUCUCUGAUGCUGUUACUUGUUCCUCUGAUGAGUGUCCUGACCCUCUUUUA